AAACUAUAAAUACGCUACACUUGAUAUUUCGAGGGUUUUGCAUUCCUCACUGCCCCUUCAUUCGAAAGUCGUCACUCACACGCAAUCUGCUGGUGCAAAUCUGAAACCUAAGAAUGUCUUUGGUAGCCAACGAAGAUUUUCAACACAUUCUUCGUUUACUCAACACGAACGUCGAUGGAAGCAGAUAAUCAUGUUUGCUUUAACCUCCAUUGAAGGUAUCGGCCGUCGCUUUGCCAACAUUGUAUGCAAGAAGGCUGAUGUUGACAUGAACAAGAAGUAUCUUCAAUUUCUCCCCGAAAGCCGGAGAAUUGUUAGCCGCGGAGCUUGAGAACCUUAUGACAAUUGUUGCAAAUCCUCGCCAAUUCAAAAUCCCAGACUGGUUAAUGGAUAGGCAGAAGGAAUAUAAGAAUGGAAGGUACUCUCAGGUUGUUUCCAAUGCCUUGGAUAUGAAGCUCAGAGAUGCUCUUGAACGUUUGAAGAAGAUGAGGAAUCAUCGUGGUCAUCGUCACUACUGGGGUCUUAGAGUGCCUGGGCAGCACACCAAGACCACUGGCAGCAGAGGAAAGACUGUUGGUGUCUCCAAGAAACGAUAAUCUGGUUUCCCAAUUUUGAUCUUCUUGUUGAUCCAUGCUUUGUUUUCAAUGGUUUUAGUAGGAUUUACCUUUUAGAAUGUACAAGAGAAUUCACAUGCUUUCUUUCAAUUUUGAUUUUUAAAGGUAUGAUUUGCUUUUAUUUUUUUGAAAUGAAAUUAUGGCUUCUCUGUUGUGAUCAUUUUUAUAACUUAGAGCUUCUCUUCACUUGUACUGGUAGGAUUUUUCUGGUUUGGAUUGCUCUGAUUGUUAAGACUGUAUCUGAAGCAGUAGGAUUGAACCCUGAUAAUUAACUAGUAAUGUUUGGUGCACAUGUGAGUUCAGAGUAGCACGGAGGGGUGCUACUUUUUGUGCAUCUUCUUCAUGAGUUGUGUUGUUUGUUUAGAGUAGAACCAAGGGAAACCUAAGAACACCACCCAGCACGAA